GGUAAGCCAAAAGUUCACUGGGGUUUUUCUGUAACAUCGUAGGGAAAAAACCCUAACGAACUUUUUGGCCAACC
rnacentral:miRNA from 1 species